rnacentral:rRNA from 1 species
GCAUAUCAAUAAGCGGAGGAAAAGAAACUAACAAGGAUUCCCUUAGUAACUGCGAGUGAAGAGGGAAGAGCUCAAAUUUAAAAUCUGGCAGUCUCUGGCUGUCCGAGUUGUAAAUUAGAGAAGUGUUAUCCGCGUUGGCCUGUGCAAAAGUCUCUUGGAAAAGGGCAUCAUAGAGGGUGACAAUCCCGUCUUUGGCACAGACUACCAGUGCUGUUGUGAUACGCUCUCGAAGAGUCGAGUUGUUUGGGAAUGCGGCUCUAAAUGGGUGGUAAAUUCCAUCUAAAGCUAAAUAUUGGCGAGAGACCGAUAGCGCACAAGUACCGUGAGGGAAAGAUGAAAAGCACUUUGAAAAGAGAGUUAAAAAGUACGUGAAAUUGUUGAAAGGGAAACGAUUGAAGUCAGUCGUACCGACGAGAAAUCAGCUUUUCGAAUAUGCAUUUGUGGGCGUAUGAGAUCUUCAUUGUUUGCAAUAUGCGUAUUUCUUAGGUGUACUUUUUCGUAUGGUAGGUCAACGUCGGUUUUGGUCGCCAUAAAAUGACCGGAGGAAUGUAGCUUCGGCUUCGGUUGAAGUGUUAUAGCCUUUGGUAGAUGUGGUGAUUAGGACCGAGGAUUGCAACGAAUACCUUUUAGGCUAUCCGUCUGACCUCUGAAAGUUACUUAGGUGCCGAAAGCUUGCUUACGGUCAUUUAAGUUAACGGUCAAAAGGUUAGAACGUGAUUACAUUCGUUAAGGAUGUUGACGUA